CAGCAGCCGCGGUAAUACGUAGGGUGCAAGCGUUAAUCGGAAUUACUGGACGUAAUGCGUGCGCAGGCGGUUCGUUAAGACAGAUGUGAAAUCCCCGGGCUUAACCUGGGAACUGCAUUUGUGGCUGGCGGGCUAGAGUAUGGCAGAGGGGGGUAGAAUUCCACGUGUAGCAGUGAAAUGCGUAGAGAUGUGGAGGAAUACCGAUGGCGAAGGCAGCCCCCUGGGCCAAUACUGGCGCUCAUGCACGAAAGCGUGGGGAGCAAACAGGAUUAGAUACCCCGGUAGUCCCUGUCUCUUAUAA
rnacentral:rRNA from 1 species